AUAUGUGAAAAUAUAGCAAGAUCUCUCCCCUUUGGACUGUAUUAUUUCUAAUUAAGUUAGCAUAUUAUCAAACCAUUUUGUAAAGAGCCAAAGGAACACAAGUGAACAGCAAAGAACCUGCACAAGCAACGCUGACACCAAACGCUAUAGUAAGUAAAAUAGAAACAUGCCACCCAACCCCAACCCCACCCAUCUUCCCCCCUCCACCUCUUUCCCCCUUUUCUUCCUAAUGUCUCAACAAAUGAAACUGAUUUGUAAAAAAAGUUACAUGGGGGAAAUACAAGAGAGACAUUGCACACACUUUUGUAAAUCAAGAAAAUCUUUAAUAAAAUAAAAAUAAAGAGCUAAUAUCUGAUUUGCCUGACUCUACCAGGCUCCUUCACAUUUCAUCUUCUUUCUUGCCAUUACAGAUAAACAUUAUUAGCUGUGUAACCAGAUGGAUGAACAAUUAACAUAAAGCUGCAGUCCUAAGUGUGCUGCUUGCUAUAGGACUCAUUGAGCUCCAUGGGAAUCGCUUCAGACUGGGUAAAGGUGCUUAGAAUGGCGCUGCAGGUAUGUUCAUAAAUAGUUCUCAUAUGAAACAGCUUCAAAUUAUAACUUCCAGUGCAACUAUAAAUGCUUUCUAGCCACUUAAGUUGUACUUCAAAUUGUAUUAUAAUAAUGACAGAGUUCCUCAUUAUUUUCAAACGUCUUUGCUUUUGUAAUCACCUGCGAUUGUAGUUAAACUCAGAAAAUUGCUGUAUUUUAAGAACUCAGAAACUGAAAUUGCACUAUCAUGAUGCUACAUUUCAUCUUUCCCCGUAAUGACAAAUUGAGCAGCAAUAAGAGCUCGUAAGUCAUGAGUGAAGCGGUGCUGCGGAAGGGAGGCAUGUUGGAAAGAUGUGGAUGCAUCUCAUUAGUCACUUUAUUAAAUAGACCUGAGUCAGUCUGGUACCAGUUGCAGUGGUUUAUAUUUGCUUACUUUUUCCUGGAUAGGCCCCCUGAUGUUGUCUGAAAA